AUGCUUUGUUUAAAUGAUUACACCAUUUUCUUGAAGCUUAUGUGUAUAUUAUAGAACCCCCAAACUAAUGGGCUAUAGCAGAAACGCAAUUAAACCGAGAGCUUCAGCUGCGGGAUAUUUGCUUUCUUGUUGGGAAAAUAACCAUCUGGCUCCGGGCUGACUGCAGCUUUCAGUAUUUGAUCCAUCAGUGACACCCACAAGGUCAGGUAGGCAGCUGGCUGCUUCCCAUGGAUAGCUGUGUCUCUAUUGUUUACUUAAUUAGCUCAGUGGUAAAGUUCGGACUUCUUACACAGUCACAGUCUUAAUGAGAGAAUUAAUAAAGGACAAUAUAUAAUAAAGUGUGUCCAUAUAAAACAUGCCAUGUCUUUAUUUUUGUGUAAUUCUGUGUACAUGUCCACACUUUGAGUGCAUGACUACAAAUGAUGUAACAGAUGGUUUUCAGAUACUUGAGCAAUUUUAAAAAUGUUAAAGUUUACAGCAGGCGCCCUCAUCCACAGUGACUGUUUAUUUAUUUACUAUCGUCCUGGUGUUCUGUUGUCUUGGCUGCACCAGAUUGUGUAAUCAUGUUUAGUGUUGGUUUUUGUGUUUUUCUGUCUUCUUAUGUGAUAGCAGGUGUUUCUCUUUAUGUUACUUACGGAUCCUAUUUUUUUUUUGUUGCUUUUCACAUUUGAAUUUGUUUUCAUUUCCUGUCUUGUCCACUCUGCUGUGAUUGUUUUCACCUGUUCCUAAGUGUUUUCAGCUGAUUCCAAUUGUAUCUUCUUAUUCAAUCAACCCUGUGCAUGUUUCACAUGCUGUUACAUUAUAGACUUUGCAUUUGUCUUUUGCAUCAAGCAAUAAAACGCUUGAAUUUUGCUCCCCGUUAACACCCUGCUGUGUCCUUUGAAUCUGGGUUCAAUGGGACCCAAAGAAGUUGCAGGGCAGCAGUGAUAACAAGGAGAGAUGAGAAACGCUCUUGGGUUAAUGUGUAAUUUUGGUGGAGCCAGUCUUAACAGAGAACUUAGAGGAGGGUAAUGUAUAGCCCGGCUGUUACAGUCCAGUCCAUUUAUCUGACUUACUAGUGCGCUGACCCUUGUUUGCAGGGACUUCCACUGUUAAGGAACACAUAACCUGGACGACUUAAGGUACCACAGGGUGAAUUGUUAAUCUGUCCCCCAGGCUCAGUAACUGGAAUCUGUCCCUGCAUGGUAAAAGUGUGCAGGGCCUGGCUGGUUACUGCACCGAGGGGCCAGCCUACUCCACACAGCCAGAUUAUCGUCAAGCAGAUGCAAACAAAUUCACACAAAUAACAGUGAUUUAUGUCCCAAUGGCUUUCAUAAAGGACAUUUGCAUGUUGGUAUUUCUUGUUUUAUUCAUUUAUUGGACUUUUUUUUUUGUUUUUUGAAAUGCAUCAAAUUGUGACCUUAAAAAAAUAAAUUAAAAGGAAAAACACUA